AGCAAGACUCCGUUAUGGUGCAAUUCCAACCUGUAUAAUGAGAAAUGAAGGAAAGAUGGAGAUCAUGUGGCCUGUCCUCUGUGCUCCUGCUGCCUUGCCUCUGCUGCUCCUUGAGAGCUCUGCUUUGACAUUUUGCAGUAAGGAGAUGUGGCCAAGUAGACACAUUGUCAG